UCCAAUCGAACUCGGAGAUAGCUGGUUCUCCUCGAAAUAGCUUUAGGGCUAGCCUUGAGGGAAGAUAUGUGGGGGUAGAGCACUGAAUGAGGUAGGGGCCUAACCAGGUUACUGAACUCUAUCAAACUGCGAAUACCAUGUAUUAAUACUCAGGAGUCAGACUACGGGAGCUAAGUUCCGUGGUCAAAAGGGAAAGAGCCCAGACCGACAAUUAAGGUCCCAAAGAUAUAGUUAAGUGGGAAACGAUGUGAAUUUGCGUAAACAACCAGGAUGUUGGCUCAGAAGCAGCCAUUCAUUCAAAGAGUGCGUAACAGCUCACUGGUCGAGUGAAUUUGCGCGGAAAAUUACCGGGGCUAAACUAUACACCGAAAUUACGGAUUUGUAAAUGAAAAUUUAUAAGUGGUAGAGGAGCAUUCUGUGGUAGGGCGAAGCUAAAGCGAGAGCAUUAGUGGACGAAGCAGAAGAGAGAAUGCUGGAAUAAGUAGCGAGAGCGAGGUGAGAAUCCUUGCCGUCGAAAGUCUAAGGUUUCCUGGGGAAGGUUCGUCCGCCCAGGGUAAGUCGGGACCUAAGGAGAGGCCGAAAGGCGUAUCUGAUGGAUAGCAGGUGGAAAUUCCUGCACUAUAGCCAUACUUAAAAGAUGCAAGGGACGCAGGAGAGGAAGAUAACCGAGGAAGAGGAAAAACUCGGAUCGAAAGAUGGAGUGAAAAUAUAAGUAACGAAGUAUCAAGAAUCACACUGACGAGAAAAGCUUGUAGAGAUUGUAUGGAAAUACCCGUACCGCAAACCGACACAGGUAGAUGAGGAGAGGAUCCUAAGACGAACGGGAGAAGCAUUGUUAAGGAACUCGGCAAAAUAACCCCGUAACUUCGGGAGAAGGGGAGCCUAUGUAAAAGUAGGCCGCAGUGAAAAGGCCCAAGCAACUGUUUAACAAAAACACAGGUUUCUGCUAAAUCGAAAGAUGAAGUAUAGGAGCUGACGCCUGCCCAGUGCUGGAAGGUUAAGGGGAAAUGUUAGGAGCAAUCCGAAGCAUAGAACUGAAGCCCCAGUGAACGGCGGCCGUAACUAUAACGGUCCUAAGGUAGCGAAAUUCCUUGUCAGGUAAGUUCUGACCCGCACGAAAGGUGUAAUGAUUUGGGAGCUGUCUCGACAAUGUACUCGGCGAAAUUGUAGUACUAGUGAAGAUGCUAGUUACCUGCGACAAGACAGAAAGACCCCAUGGAGCUUUACUGCAGUUUGAUACUGGGUUUUGAUAAACUAUGUACAGGAUAGGUGGGAGACGAAGAAAGCAAGGCGUCAGCUUUGCUGGAGUCACCGUUGGGAUACCACUCUUAGUUUGUUGAAAUUCUAACUAGUGGUCAUGACCUGGCCAGAGGACAAUGUCAGACGGGCAGUUUGACUGGGGCGGUCGCCUCCAAAAGAGUAACGGAGGCGCCCAAAGGUUUCCUCAGCGCGGACAGAAAUCGCGCGAAAGAGUGUAAAGGCAGAAGGAAGCUUAACUGGAAGACAGACAUGUCGAGCAGAUACGAAAGUAGGGCUUAGUGAUCCGGUGGAAUUGAAUGGAAAAGCCAUCGCUCAACGGACAAAAGUUACCCUGGGGAUAACAGGCUUAUCUCCCCCAAGAGUUCACAUCGACGGGGAGGUUUGGCACCUCGAUGUCGGCUCAUCGCAUCCUGGAGCGGAAGUACGUUCCAAGGGUUGGGCUGUUCGCCCAUUAAAGCGGUACGCGAGCUGGGUUCAGAACGUCGUGAGACAGUUCGGUCCCUAU
rnacentral:rRNA from 1 species